UGAACGCUAGCGGGAGGCUUAACACAUGCAAGUCGAGGGGCAGCAUUUACUUCGGUAAGAUGGCGACCGGCGCACGGGUGCGUAACGCGUAUGCAACCUACCUUAUACAAAAGGAUAGCCCAUGGAAACGUGGAUUAAUACUUUAUGGUACUAUAAAACUGCAUAGUUUAAUAGUUAAAACUUCGGUGGUAUAAGAUGGGCAUGCGUAGGAUUAGGUAGUUGGUGGGGUAAUGGCCCACCAAGCCGACGAUCCUUAGGGGUUCUGAGAGGAUUAUCCCCCACACUGGUACUGAGACACGGACCAGACUCCUACGGGAGGCAGCAGUGAGGAAUAUUGGUCAAUGGGCGCAAGCCUGAACCAGCCAUCCCGCGUGCAGGAUGACGGCCCUAUGGGUUGUAAACUGCUUUUGUUUGCCAAGAAUGGUUACUACGUGUAGUAAUUUGACGGUAGCAAAUGAAUAAGGACCGGCUAACUCC
rnacentral:rRNA from 1 species